GAAGGACGGACCACUCUCUCCCCCCCCCCGAGUGGCUUCGUCGAAGACCGGCAGCGUCCCCCCGUUGCCGGACACCGGAAAAUGGCCCCCGCGUCCUCCCCCCUGGCGCGGGGGCUUUUC
rnacentral:sRNA from 1 species